rnacentral:rRNA from 1 species
UUGGGAUGGACCUGCGGUGCAUUAGCUAGUUGGUAGGGUAACGGCCUACCAAGGCGAUGAUGCAUAGCCCGAGUUGAGAGACUGAUCGGGCCACAUUGGGGACUGAGACACGGGCCCAAACUCCUACGGGAGGCAGCAGUAGGGAAUCUUCCACAAUGGACGCAAGUCUGAUGGAGCAAACGCCGCGUGAGUGAAGAAGGGUUUCGGGCUCGUAAAAAGCUCUGUUGUUGGUGAAGAAGGACAGGGGUAGUAACUGACCCUUUGUUUGACGGUAAUCAAUUAGAAAGUCACGGGCUAACUACGUGCCAGCAGCCGCGGUAAAU